GUGCCUGUAGCUCAGUGAGUAGGGCAUCAGCCUCAGAUACUGAGGGUGGCGGGUUCGAACCCCACCCUGGCCA
rnacentral:tRNA from 1 species